rnacentral:piRNA from 1 species
CUGUAGCCAGUACUCCUCAAGCAGGAAAC